AUAAAAUUUGUAAUCUCAUUUAGAAUAGUGGAUUUCAAAGCUACUAUGACCGUCAAGGUCAAAACUUUUUCAAUAAUCUCAAAAUACUCAAACCAUGGGUGCUUAUAGCACAAAAGUUCUUAAUAUUACAAUCUCAAAUAAGGCUUAAUGACCAAUAUAUCAAUCUCACAUUAAGACAUAUCAAAAUUCAUACUCGAUAUCAUAAAGAUUCAUAAAUCAUAUAGAAAUCUGGAAAUUUUCAGCAAUUGCAUUAUAAUCUCAACAUACUCAUGUACUUCAAUUUCUAAAACACUAAAACUAUCAUAAUCUGAAGAAAUAAUAACAUAGGGUAUAAACCCAUACUUCAAUUUCAUAAGAAAACAUGUAAAACCAUAUAUCUUUGUAAUUAAAACAACUUUUGGGCACAAUGACGAAAGGAGUGUCCUUUUUCAAACCCCAGAUACCUUAGAUUAUGACUUGUAGAUGAACAAGUUUGCUUGAGGAUCUUUUUCUUACUCUUGAGUGAUGGUUCUUGAAGCUUUUGAUUUGAGAACCUUGAAUCUUUACUUAAUUUGUAGAAACUAUGGUGGAAUCUUAAGGUUCUUGGAGAAAGAUUUGGAUUUGCUUUUGAGGGUUAAUCUUGAGAGAAAACCCUAGUUCUUGAUGCUUUGGAUGAUUCUAAAGUUCUAUGCUUCAUUUUGACAUAUCUAGGUGUUAAAAUGGGUGAAAAAAGACCAUAAAGCCCAUUUUAAAACGACUUUAAAAUACUGAACGAGAUCUGCGAUGGUCGGAGUGAUGGUCUGUCACUAGUCUGACGGCCCGUCGGAUCGUCCGUCGCACGUUGAUCAGAAAAAGGCCACACUGCCUCGUUGCAAUGGUCUUAGCAACGGUCCAUCACUAGAUUGACUGUUCGUUGUCCUGGCCAUCGCACUUGGGCCAGAAGAGGGGCUCACUGCCUUAGUUGCGACGGCUUGGGCGACGGUCCGUCGGCCUGACCGUUGCACUUGGACAGUGGAUGGGUUUAUUUCCUUGGUUGCGACGGCUCGAUCGACGGUCCAUUGCAAGCUCGACGGUCUGUCAACCUGCCCAUCGCACUUGGGUGGUUCUGACAGCUCUCAGUAAAACGACCAUAACUUCUCACUCCGAUACCAGAUUUGGACGAAAUUGGUAUCGUUGGAAAGUUGAUUCAAUUUUCCACAUGAUAAAAGUAAAAUUUAGGAAAAUUCCAUAUGGUUUAAACACCAAUAACUUUGGAGGUCAUUCCUAAAUCUUUUAGAGAAGAAAAAAGGCUUCACUUGACAUGCUCUAAAGGCUUAGACUACAAGGGAAUUUUACAGGGUCUUACAAUAAUAUCAAUAAUAAAUAUGAAAAAAAAUCAUCAGACACUAUAAGAAAUCUAUUUUUUAGUGGCGAAAAUUAGUGGCGAGUCAAUUUGUUAUUGCAGAAAUAUAUUAUUUAGUGACGACAUUUAUUAGCGCUGCAAUACAUCAUCUUUUAGCAUCAAAUAAUUUUUUCUGCCUCUAAUAGUUGUCACUAUACUAAAAAUUUCAGUUCCUGCUAAUAAUAAAAUUUUGGCUCCAUUUUUAUAGUGACGACUAAUAAAAUGUCACCUCUAAAUUAAUUAUGUGGCAAAGACGUCGGCACUAAAACUAAUUUAUUUUAUUUUUAAAAUUUUUAAUAAUUGGAAACUUCUAGUAUGUAUCUCAGGACUUUUCAGACAAUUAAAAAAGAAACAAAAUUUCAUUUCUCUUUCAUCGUCUCUCUGCUGAAGCUCAAGCUAGCUUUGCUCAACCUUCAUCAUGUUUGCUCAGAAAAGCAUACCAUUUCAUCAUUUUUCUUAAGCAAGAUCUCAAACCCAUUGAUUAAACAAUUUUUUUUUAAAUGGGUUAGCUGAAAUUUGUUAGGUUUGUUGGCUAAAACUUUGCUCAAGUCUCAAAUUUUCUAAAUGGGUUAGCUUAAUUUGUUAGCUGAAAUGCCUAAAAAUUUCCUCUCUAAUAAAAUGGGGUUUUUAAAGUUAUUUCUCAAAUUGAUUUGUGGGUGUAUAUGCAUUUUUUAUUUUCACAUGCAAUUUUAUUAGCUCAAAUAUUUUGCAGGAACAAGAUAUCUCUUUGCUAGAAAUUUUUAUUUUUUUCUCAAAUAGGGUUCUCAAAGUUUGUGCUCCAAGGAACAGAAUUCUAUAAGGUCGAAGGACGAAGGGAUCGAGUUCAAAAUUCUUGAGGUUAUAGAGACGAAGGUGACUAGGCUUGCAGUACAGGGAUGAGGAGAAAAAAAAACUGGUGUGACCAAUUGGAGUAAUGAAUGAGGAUAUCAAUGUUGUAGUUAGAGUUGCACCGAAAGCCAUAGAAGUUCUUGUCUCAGGGAUCGUGCCCCCAACAUGGGAUUUGUGUUAUCUUUGUCUACCUAAUUUCGCAGUCUUUGUUAUAGACGAGUAAUCUUGAAUGUAUGUACAAAGGAGUCGAGAUGCAAUUACUCCUGUUCUUGCA